UACAGAGGUCUCAAGCGUUGUUCGGAUUCAUUGGGCGUAAAGGGUGCGUAGGCGGCGCGGUAAGUCGGAUGUGAAAUCUCGGAGCUUAACUCCGAAGCUGCAUUCGAUACUGCCGUGCUUGAGGACUGGAGAGGAGACUGGAAUUUACGGUGUAGCGGUGAAAUGCGUAGAUAUCGUAAGGAAGACCAGUGGCGAAGGCGGGUCUCUGGACAGUUCCUGACGCUGAGGCACGAAGGCCAGGGGAGCAAACGGG
rnacentral:rRNA from 1 species